AACGUAGGAGACAAACGUUAUCCGGAGUUACUGGGCGUAAAGGGCGUGUAGGUGGUUUUGUAAGUCUGGCGUGAAAUUUUUCGGCUUAACCGGGAAAGGUCGUCGGAUACUGCAGGACUAGAGGGCGGUAGAGGCGUGUGGAAUUCCGGGUGUAGUGGUGAAAUGCGUAGAGAUCCGGAGGAACACCAGUGGCGAAGGCGGCUCACUGGCCCGGUACUGACGCUGAGGUGCGAAAGCGUGGGGAGCAAACAGG
rnacentral:rRNA from 1 species